AUAGUCGUAAAAUAGAUUUCUGGAAUUUCAGUGUGACGUCUCGUGUGGUCGGGCUGAAUGAAUGGCAACUGUGAUGCAUAAAGGGAAGUAAGGCAUGUUGUUGGGCUAGUCGGUUCAUAGAUUCAGCAAAAAUUUAUAAACUGCGCAAAAAAGACACAACCUGAACAGAAACGUGUGUGAGCUUUAAUGUUUCUGUUCAUGGCUUGUCUUCACGCAGUUUAAAAAUUUUCCUGAAACAAGAGAACAGGCACAAGUACUGAUUUGUAAUGAAAAACUUACUGAAUGCACAGAAUAUAUCUACCAUGAAAAUUGAAAUGCAACCAAUUCUGAAACUACUUGAAAAUGCUUCAUUUCCAGGUUUAGCUGCACUUGUAACAGUCUAAUUUAGACUCCAAAACAUGCACUUGAGACUACUUCAUGCUUAGAAACCAGCUACAGUGCGAUUACAUGUUGCAUAUCCAUGUCAUUAUGCGUAACAAAUAUUCAUUCCUGUUCUCAUUUCAAUUUAUGCUAUAACUGAGUAAACUCAAGAAAUAAAAUUCAUACGCUUUUGUCAGUAACUUCCAUCUGUUAUGUGUGCCUCAUUGUCCUGUACAGUAAAUAUUAUGUAUGCUUUUCCAAGAGUCAAUGAAAUUGUUACUUAUUGCAAAGCUAGAAGUAGGUGUGGCUCACACUAUUUUUUGCUGUUGUUGCUUUGAGUGUUACAUAUGGCUGUACAUUGUCCCGUGGCAUUGUCAGUCUCUUGACUAUUCGGUGAUAUCUCAAAUAAAUGCUAGACUAUUGAUAGGUGUAGUAUAAAUGAAGGUUUCACUGGCAGGCACAUAGAAAUUUAAUGCUUUCUGAGGCAUAAAAUGCCUGUGCACCUACACCUGCAAUCUUUCAUUGUGUUUUGCAUCAGAAGUGGACCACAAUAAGAUAUUCCUCUUAUUGUGUUCAACUUGGUGCCAAGGUGCCAUGAAUUUAUACCAGCCAGUCCAAAUAUAAUUUUUUUUGUUAAUGUAAUCUUUGACACAUGUGAAGAGACAACUAAAUUGUGGUCACAUCACAACUUUUUUAGAAGAAACACUGAUCGCUUAUGAUAAUGCCAAAAGCAAUGAAGAAAACCAGCUGUAUUGUCUGGCAUGCUCACAGAAGGCACUACAGGUACAAGUGUUUGACCUGAAAUAACAUCUUUUUUGUAGACAAAGUUAUGCCGUCCUGGCACACAUCUUUGGCUGUUGCUAUACAAUAUAUUGUUACAAUUAAUUUGUUUCGCUUUGAGAUUUUUCAGGAACCUGGUGCUAUUAAACAGUGGACCACAAUUGCAUUUAUUAAAGGGCAGCUAAAUGGCUACCAUACCCAUUUUUACAUUGUUUUUGGGCUGUCUCGCUCUGUCAUUAACAUUCCCUAGUUUCGCUAGCCAUUUAGCAGCUCUUGUAAUAAAUGCACAUGCACUCCACUGUUUAGUAGCGCCAGGUUUCUGAAAAAUGCAAAAACCAAAAAAGGAGAAGCUUAGAGGUACACUGGAUAACAAAAGUCAUAGACAAGUGUGUCAGUGUGGUUUCAAUAAGCUGAUCAAAAUGAACGGAUGGUAUAUAUCGAUAAACACUUGUAACUGUAGUGCCACCUUUCCACAUGCCUGUCAAUCUAUCGGGUUUUCUUUGUGGUUUUCGACAUGACUCUAAGACGAUGGCAUUCCUUAUUUCUGGGGUUUUACGUGCCAAAACCAGUUCUGAUUAUGAGGCACGCCGUAGUGGAGGGCUCCGGAUUAAUUUUGACCACCUAGGGUUCUUUAACGUGCACUACAACGCAAGCACACGGGCAUUUUUGCACCAAAUGAAGUUUAGUUGACAGUUAGCGUUAGUCCUGUUUUGAUUGUUUUCUUGUCCCAUUGUGCUGCUUCAUUGUGCCAUCAAGGUGAAUGAACUUGCAGAAAUCAAGUUGUUGAUACUAGAGCAUACCAUAGUUCUGCUACACUUUUACUGCACAGAGCAGAAAAAAGCCAAGGGAAAAUGUACAUGUGCAAUGUUAAACAAAGAAGACACAGACAAAACAAUUAUGUGUACCUGUCACAUAAAGAACAAAAAUAGGCAAUACUAUACUACUACCUACUCAUACAUACAAACUGGCAGAAAGCAAACUGAUCACAUAUUCGAAUGGGCCUCGAAUUGCUAACUCAACAAACCAGGAAGCACACACAACAUUUGAUAUGUUUCUUCAUUGUCCUUGCAAAGCUUCCAGUUAAAUCAUGUGCAGCUUGCUUAACAUUCUGUUUUUAUAAGGUUUUUCAUGGUGCCAAUCAACUGUGCUUCUGUAAUUUACCUUGGUGGGGGAAACAGCUUUAGCUACUUUCACAGUGUGGUCUUAGUUCAUUAGGGAAACCAUUUUCUCUGUGCUUUAAACAGUCAUUGCAAAUAUUGUUACCACUGCAUGUCGAGUUUGAAAAGGUUAGCCAUCUCAAAGUUUAUACCUAAGAUCAUUCAUACAGCCCCUGUGGAAACAUUGCUGUAGAAGUCACAUAGACAGCCUAGUACUUUUAUUCAGCUCAGAUAACAGCAGAAUUCUGCCCUACUUAUGAGAGUUCUUCCCUGGCUUACAGAAGGGGCCUUCUUCCAAAGUAAUUUCUUGGACCCUUUACGUUUGCACAAAUGUGUAAAAUCAGUUGCCGACGGAAGCUGGCAUUUCAGUGAAAAGACAUUUGUGAGGUGCAAUAGUCUACUAUUUAAUUAGAUGUCUAAUUUGUAUUGUUUCCUUUUUGCAAUAGAUAAGCAAUUCAGUUGGGCUGAGCCACACGUCAAGUCUUAUGCGGAGAUGGCUUGAUAAGGACAUAUUUAUAGCUGUGUGUAGUUGUGUUGAUGAUGGAAAUUUUUAAAGAUAACUCUUGGUUUUAUUUGAUUUUUGUUGCAGUCAUAAAAAUUUCGUCUAGUCUAGGAAGCAUGGUGCACUAUUUAGGUGUUCUACUAUAACAAGAACCGUGCUGCUGUUGAUUGCAAUAAUUAGAAUAGGUAACUCGAAAAUUCAGUUUCUAUGGAACCAUUAGAAGAAUUACCUAGCCUUGUAGGACUUGGCUAUAGUUUGUGCUGAAUAAUUGAGACAAUAGUGUUGGACAGAGUUCAUUAAGGAACAUUACAGGGAUUUCGUUAACAAUGGAGUUUAGUGCUACUCCUAGCUUGCUGUUAUGCAGCGUGGAAAUGUAAUUGUAUUGAAUGCAGUGGUUCUUGUGAGCUUCGGGUAACCACAUUUUGAGAGAAUUGUGCCUUUUAAAAGUGUACAAUGUAAUGUUUACUUUUCUAACAUAAAGAAUAGCUUGGUUAUGAUAAUCUUGCUGCCAAAUGUGUGGUAACUAAAAGCGUGCCUGCUGCUGCCACAAAAAUGCAGCAUCCUGGAAGCUUUUGCUUGUAUGAACUUAGUGUGCUGCAUUUACCAAGCAUGCACAAUACAAAAAAACUUCUUCAGCGCUUGGCAUUAACAUCAUGUUAUUUGAUGACAGCCAUGAAGAAGCGUUCAUUCAGCAAUAUCUUGCCUAUAGCCUAACUACCAAACAAAGUAGCCUUGCAAGGAAGAAAUUGUCUUUGUAUGGGUAGCAGUCAUUUACUAAUGUUUACAUCAUAUUAGCUGUCACAGUUUGUUCCAUCUUACUGCCAUAUACUCGAGCUUCCCUAUUUCUGUGUGGGUUAAAGGCAGCACCUAACAAUUAAUCCCUAUUUAUUAAUUUGCAUCACAGCUGUGAGCAGCAUCAUAGGUGCUGUCAACAUGCCAUAAAUGUUCACAAGCUUAGGGAGGUUACAAUAAAAGCAAAAGGAUAAUACAAGCUUAACUGCCCAUUAUCAUAUCUGCAUUUGUUUUUAUGUUCAGUCGUGAAGGCAGAUAUAUGCAGCUUGGAUAUACUUAGUGACUUCUCACAGUAAGACUCAGCAUCACAUUUUCAGUAGUUACAGAUGUGACUUGCCCAACUUUUUUUCUUACUAACAUCCACGGGAUGCACUCAGUAUGACUUGAAACAAGUGAGCUGUGGAAUUCAUCUUGAGGUGUUGCAUAAUUUGAGUUGGCGGUGCAUAUUGGGGGCUUGUGAAAAUAUUGAAGAGCUUACUAUAAUUUAGUACAGCUCUUGUGUGAUUCUGUACUUUACAAGAAAAUAUUUUAUGUAAACUGCAAAUGUAUCCAUGUUGUUCUUACAAUGCCACAUAGUAAUUGUGUUUAUCAUUUAUUAAAAUAAAACAUGGAGCUAACUGGUAGCAUUCCAUUGUGCUGCCACACCACUAGAGAAAACAGCAGAAAAUUAAGAACCAUAGGAUGCGUGCUUAACUGCCAACUAAAUUUUGAUAGAAAACUUUCUGCUGCAUAUACACACCACCGUUCCAACCUUUCAAAAUUUCUCUGCAUGAGUACAGAAAAUAGCACAUGACAGAAGUGUAAUUGAUGGAAACAGUAUUAACAAUGCAGUGUCAUGCUCUUAAAAAAACAUGAGUUUCCUAGCACAAAAAUAAAUGCAAGGGGGGUAGCGUCGACGCCACCACUAUUUCAGAGGUUACCCAGUCCUUGAGUGUGUAUGUAAUCUGUCCACGAAAAUGGGUAAACACCCACAAUCACUCCAAAAUUGUAAGGUGAGUACACAGUAACCUUCACAGAACUCGGAUGUUCUCUUCGCCUUGUGUUGACACAGCACCCUGUUUGACCCAUGUACGGAGUCACGAAAAGCACACGACUCUUUAUGAGCUACUAUUAGAUGGCAGAGACCGAACAUAUUGUGUGUUUGCUACACAAAAUCUUCCAGAGCCAGCAGUACUGUUUGCUCUAAUCUCAACUGCAGCAUAUGUUCAGGUACAGAUUGGUGUAGGAUUUGUGAUGCCACUCAACAAGUGGCAUUACAUACUAAAGUGUACCUCUGAAGCCAAGUGCGCAUUAGGUCUGGCACAGCACCUGUGGACACCAACACAAGCUGGGGAAAGAAGCCAGACUGGGCAGGCCUGCCGGACUAUCUCUGGUGCAUCUGGGAAGCUUCUGGCAAGACCAGAGAAAGUGGCUGCUGUGAAGAACUGCCUGGAGAAGUACAUCUGGGAACAUCCGAUGGGGCCACCAGCACCACCUUCAGAGCACCGCCUUGCUUCUGUAAGGAAGCACCUUUGGAGCUUCACAGAAGCGGGUGCGAGGGCAAGCGAGUGUGGAAGACGUGAAUCGCCUUAACCUAUUGCAUUUUUUCAAUAAAGUGUGAAGAUAUGGAACAUA